GCCUUCUCCAAGUGCAGCAACCAUGGAGUGUGGACUUAAAAGACACCAAGACUUCGUGUUCAAGUCUCCUGAGUGGAAGCUGGACCCAGAACCUUCUGACUUAGAGAAUUCAACAUCAAUGGGUGAACAGCAUCUCCAUCAUUUACCAUGAACUUAACACUAUUCCUGUGUUAAUCAGCACAUUAACUUGUACCAUCCAUUCCACGUACUCGUGUAUAUAUUGCAA